AUGCGGCGACUGAUGGAAAGUUUGCUUGAGUUGGACUGGGGCGGGGCGCCACGGUCAAUUUGGACGCCUCGACUGUGGCACGAACGAAGGAUGCGCCACUCCGGCGGGCCCACCGCCCUUCUCCUUCUCCGUGCGUGCUGCUUUGGGCCGACGAACACGAGCAUCUUCGUGGAGAAGACGGAGAAGAAGGCGCAUGGAACCUGGUGCUCAUUUGCGAUGGGCGGUAACCAGUCGCGAGCGAAGUCGACGAUGACCCAAUUGGGCUUCUUGCUGAAAGGAUUUGGCCCUCUACCUCCACCACCCUCCCAAUCUCUAGCAGUGUCAAUGGCGGCGCAGGCGUUGGUGAGGACUGAGGAGAAGAGGAUGAGGAGAUAGAGAAGAGAGG
rnacentral:lncRNA from 1 species